rnacentral:rRNA from 1 species
AUAGUAGUGUCAGAGUUUGAUCCUGGCUCAGGAUGAACGCUAGCUACAGGCUUAACACAUGCAAGUCGAGGGGCAGCAUGAAUAUUGGCUUGCCAAUAUUUGAUGGCGACCGGCGCACGGGUGAGUAACACGUAUCCAACCUUCCGGUUACUCGGGGAUAGGCUUUCGAAAGAAAGAUUAAUACCCGAUGUUGCGUAUCUUUCUCCUGAAAGAUACGCCAAAGGAUUCCGGUAACCGAUGGGGAUGCGUUCCAUUAGCUAGUUGGUGAGGUAACGGCCCACCAAGGCAAUGAUGGGUAGCCGGCCUGAGAGGGUGAACGGCCACAAGGGGACUGAGACACGGCCCUU